GGUAAAAUGGCUGAUUAAGGUGAUAAAUUGUAAAUUUAUUUAUGAUGAAGAUCUUUUACU
rnacentral:tRNA from 1 species